ACAGAUGCGUUGACAAGGAGUAGUAGAAGUUUUGGCAUUUUAAGAGAGUACACGGUUGCUGCGAGUGUAUAUGCGAGCCUUUGAACUUACCUUUAAGCAUGAUCAUCAUGAUCCGGUGAAGUGACCGUUAUCUCUUUGAGGUCUGGCGAAAGCCAGAUAAAGAUAGGUGGUACCACGUUUUUAACGUCCUAUAG
rnacentral:ncRNA from 1 species